rnacentral:rRNA from 1 species
AUUGAACGCUGGCGGCAGGCCUAACACAUGCAAGUCGAGCGAGCGGCGGAAGGGUGAGUAAUGUAUGGGGACUGCCCGAUAGAGGGGGAUAACUACUGGAAACGGUGGCUAAUACCGCAUACUGUGGGAUAACGGAUAUGGGAUUAGCUAGUAGGUAAGGUAAUGGCUUACCUAGGCGACGCUCCAUACCUGGUCUGAGAGGAUGAUCAGCCACACUGGGACUGAGACACUGCCCAGACUCCUACGGAGGCAGCAGUGGGGAAUAUUGCACAAUGGGCGCAAGCCUGAUGCAGCCAUGCCGCGUGUAUGAAGAAGGCCUUAGGGUUGUAAAGUACUUUCAGUCGGGAGGCGUUACCGACAGAAGAAGCACCGGCUAACUCCGUGCCAGCAGCCGCGGUAAUUC